rnacentral:lncRNA from 1 species
GACGGUGAAUAACCCGGUGCAUACGACGGAGGAGCUGGCGGAGAAGUCACCGGAGAAGUUGCCGGAGAAACAGGGGAAGAUGAUUUAGGUGACAUUGAUCCCGGCGGUGAAGAACCCGGUGCAUACGACGGAGGAGCUGGCGGAGAAGUUGCCGGAGAACCAGCGGAGGAAGAUUUAGGUGGCAUUGAACCCGGCGGAGAAGUCACCGGAGAAGACGACGGAGAACCAGGGGAAGAUGAUUUAGGUGACAUUGAUCCCGGCGGAGAAGAUGACGGAGAACCAGGGAAUGAGGAUUUAGGUGGCAUUGAUCCCGGCGGAGAAGUCAUCGGAGCAGAGGACGGAGAACCAGGGGAAGAGGAUUUAGGUGGCAUAGGUGCGGGUGGAGAAGUCGACGGAGACAUAUGAGAGGAAGAUUUAGGUGCCAUUGAACCUGGUGGAGAAGUUGCCGGAGACUUAGCGGAGGAUGAUUUAGGUGGCAUUGAUCCCGGCGGAGAAGUCACUGGAGAAGAAGACGGAGAAACAGGGGAAGAUGAUUUAGGUGGUGUAUGUGCCGGUGGAGACGUCGCCGGAGAAACAGGGGAUGAAGAUGAUUUAGGUGGCAUUGUUCCCGGUGGAGAAGUCACCGGAGAAACAGGGGAAGUAGAUUUAGGUGGCAUAGGUGCCGGUGGAGAAGUCGCCGGAGAAACAUGGGAAGAAGACUUAGGUGGCAUUGAUCCCGGCGGAGAAGUCACCGGAGCAGAAGACGGAGAAACAGGGGAAGAAGAUUUAGGUGGCGUAGGUGCGGGUGGAGAAGUCGCCGGAGAAACAGGGGAAGAGGAUUUAGGUGGUGUGUGUGCGGGUGGAGAAGUGGCCGGAGAAACAUGGGAAGAAGACUUAGGUGGAAUUGAUCCCGGAGGAGAUUUUCCCGGUGAUGCUGCUUGAGGAGGAGCCGGAGUUCUAACGGACAAGACAACGACAGUAAGCUUUUGUCCCUUCUUACAGUUAUCUUCAUUGCCACUGAUGAAGUAAAAUGGACCAGAGCGUUC